UUUAAGGUUAAAAAAAAAGUGUUGUGAAGAGAGAAUGGAAAACAAAGUUACCGGAUCCUGUGAGAGAAAGUUCUUGAUCCCUGAAAUCCCAGGUAAACCCUCGGAACUUCACUCCAAUGUGAUCCUUGUCAGACACUUUCCUAUGGAAAAGAGCCAGUCAGCUGAACAACUUCUUCAUUUGUUGGGCUUAUGAAAAUGAGAAUAUAACAGACUUGAGGAUUUCAAACCCAUCCAUGGUUACAAACUUGGAAUCAGAGAAUUUGAGGAUUGAAAAAAAAUCUCAAAUGGCACACUUGUUCUCAGCGGAAGCUGAUGAGGAGAGGACCCUGGCCAGGUGUCUUCGGGAUAAUGCUGUUAGCGAAUCAGUCCAUGUCUCAGAAAAGCAGGGUGCUGUUUGUGGAAGAGAGGUCUUCUAGACAGACCCUGCCCCAAGGCAGCUUUAAAAAAUCAUACUGAUCAAAUGUAUUUUCAGUGCUUGAAAUCCACUCAAGCCUCCGUCACUGAGAAGCUAAUGGAGUCUUACCUUCUCCCCCACAACUUGAGAUCGAUUUGUUGGAGCUGAACUUCUUUUGCUCAGUGACAUCCGCUGUCCCAGACUCUUCAGUGUUGCCUUCAGCAUGACUGGGGAGUUGAAUGGAGGCAAAAAGACAUGUCCACACCCCAAACCUGUGAUUGUGACCGAACUCGGAAAAAGGAUCUUUGCAAAUGUAAUUACAUUAAAGAUCUCAAGUUGACAUCUUUCUGGAUUAUCUGAUUGAGCCCUAAAUCCAGUGACAAGUGUCCUAAUGAGAGACACACAGAGGAGAGACGGAAAGAAGACGAGAGGCCAUGUGAAGACUGAGACAGAGAUUAGAGCGAUGCAGCCACAGCCAGGCAUACCUGGAGCCACCAGAAGCUGGAAGAGAGAGGUAAAAUUCCCUCUUACAGCCUUUAGAAGGAGAAGGCCCCUGAAACACCUUGAUUUCAGACUUCUGGCCUCCAGACUGUGAGUUAAUCUAUUUUGGUUCUUGAAACCCACUGAGUUUGUGGUGAUUUGUUACAACAUCCCUCGGAAUCUAAUAUACCAUCCCCAGCCCUUUAGUACAUGGGUGGAACGCACACCUCACAACCUAAUGCAUUUCCUGUUUUAUGAAGUCACAUCAAUAACAAUGGCUCCUGUUAGCAAUAGAAGCUUCAAGUAUAAGCUGAAAAAUUCUCCAGAAGAAGGUGGUAUAAUCAGAGGCUGAGGGCACAGGUACCAGAGUUAUAUUACUUGGGUUCAAAUCUUUUUUUCCACCACUUAUAUGCUGUUAGCCUGAGCAAAUUUUCUUAUUUCUCUGUAUCCCCAAGUUAAUCAUAUGUCAAAUAGAGAAAAAAAAAAAAACAGCAGUUCUUUCAGAAGUUAUAAGAAUUAACUGAACUAAAAUGGAAAGUAUUUUCAAAUGCUUAGCCAUUAUAAGCACAUAAUAAACAGCUAUCAAAUUAUUAUUUUGGAAUGGAUUCUCUUCUUAACCAAGGCAAUUCUCAUUUUCUUCUAACAAAGCUUUCAAGUAAUACAUUGCCAGGUGAUUAUUAUUAAUUUUCUAUCCCACGGCUACUUGCACAAGGAGUUUGAUACAGCUACAAUGUGCGCUAAUCCAAUGUGCUGUUAGUUACAUUAAGAAGGUAAUACUUCAUUAAAAAUAUUAGGAGUAAAAAAAUUUUUUUCAGUAGCUAAAUAUGACAUGACUAAAUGCUGGUUAGCAAAACUUCUGCCCCUAGG